rnacentral:lncRNA from 1 species
UUGUUGUGUUCUUAUAGCUCACAGAGUCACGUGGUGAAGUAAUGACUGGUCUGGCAGUUGAUUUGAUCAGGGGGCUGGACUCUGCUGUGUGUGUAUGGAGGUCAUCCAUCCUAGCCGUCCCAUCUCCCCUUAAUGUGAUUCAUUUCGACCCUAGUCGCCUUCGGAGUUAAUGUAUACACACACACACACACACACACACACACACACACACACACACACACACACACACACACACACACACACACACACACACACACACACACACACUUACAAAGAUCCAUUGGCCUGUGGAGAGCAGGCUCUCUUCCACAGCAAUAGAAAGCACAUGUUGAUCUGUGAGUGCUUGCCUGCGUGUGCGUGUGUGCAUGUGUGGGUGUGUGUGUGCGUAUGUGGGUGUGUGUGUGUGUCCGUAUGUGGGUGUGUGUGUGUGUGUGUGUGUGUGUGUGUGUGUGUGUGUGUGUGUGUGUGUGUGUGUGUGUGUGUGGGUGCGGAGGUGGGUGUGUGUAUGUGUGUGCGAGCAUGCGUGUGUGAGUGUGUGCGUGUGGGGGUGUGUGUGACAUGGUAGAUAGUGUACCUGCCAGGUCACAUGGUAGAUAAUAUACCAGCAAUGUUACAUGGUAGAUAAAAUACCUGCCAGGUCACAUGGUAGAUAGUAUACCAGCCAGGUCACAUGGCAGAUAGUAUACCUGCCAGGUCACAUGGUAGAUAGUAUACCAGCCAGAUCACAUGGUAGAUAGUAUACCAGCCAGGUCAC